GACUCCUAAAGGGAUUACAAUUGCAUCCUUCUUAGACGGUAUUUUCUCAUGUUUAUCAACACUUUAUAAUAGUCUUUAUUUAGAUCAUUAUCUACUAUGAAAAAUCCCUCUUUAUUUCUGAUGUGCAUGAUAUAGUCGCAUUACAUAAUAUGCAAAUCAAUAUAUAUUUAAGCUAGUCUAACAGGAUGGUAAGUGGUAAUGACAUCAGAGGUCAUAAGCAUUGUUUCCAUUAGUAUCCAUGACAAUAUUAGUGUAACAACACAGUUCAUAUGUGCUAUACCUGUCUGUGGGCCCUACGGUUUGUUUCAACAUCAUUAGGAAGAAUGCGUAUGAGGCAUAGAAACGAGACUUCAGAGUAUCUCCAGGGUUAUCUGAAGCAUCUGAAGCACAGUGGUGUUUUUGUCUGUUUUCUGUGGGUUUCUUUUUUCACGUCAUACCUGAAAGUGCAAUGAAAUCCUUUUUUCUGCAGAUGUGAGGACACCGAAGAGAGUAAACCUUAAGGUUAUAGACCCUAGGAACUGACUGUGCGCCCAGGAGGGCAGGACGACUGUACUUUUCAGCAGCUUAGGUGAGCUCCACACCAUUUCUCAGAGAAGUUAUGGAACCACGUACACCAUCCGCCCUGGCAGCCGUUACCCUGUCACCCGACGCACCCCCAGCCCAGGUUCAGGCUCACCUGACCGGGGCGACCUUCUCGGACGAUUCUCAAGCUUCGGCCUACCGACCUCACCGACUACACCCCCUCAAACCAUCCUCAAGUCCUCGAGCCUCAGCCUACCCCAGGAGCCUAAAGAGGUCCGCUUUGUAAUGAGGAGCUCCAGCGCCCGUUCCCGCUCUCGUUCCCCGUCCCCUUCCCACUCCCCCGGGUUGGGGUCACCGCUUUUAGCCCUCCGGCCCUUCCACCAAAAACCCCUCCACCUUUGGAACAAGUACGACGUUGGAGACUGGCUGGAGAGCAUCAAUCUGGGGGAGCACAGAGCGGGGUUUCAGGAACACGAGAUCGAAGGCUCUCACCUCCCGGCUCUAACCAAGGAUGACUUUGCGGAGCUGGGAGUAACGCGAGUCGGACACCGCAUGAACAUUGAGCGAGCACUAAAGCAGCUGCUGGAGAGCUGACCCCUGCCCUGAGACACAGCAACAGAUGGAGAGAGACGAAGACAGAACCAGUGAGAUACAGAGCUGAUGAAUAGGAGAGAAAACAAUGUGGACCGCUCCUCUUUUACUCCGGCUGCUUUUUUAUGUUCGGUAUCACAAAUGUUUACCUGUGGUCCUUAACGGCAUUUUCCGUUCCCACUCUGCAUUAACACCCUGCACUUGGCACUGCACUGAAGAGGAGGAGUGAAUACAUUCGUCCCCCUCUACUCGGCCCUUAGCGUCUGCCCACCUCCUUGGCUGCAGCCAAUUAGAUCAGACCUCAAAACGAUAUCUGGUCUUUUUUUUCGCCGAGGAGAAUCGCAUGAGCUCCAAUUAAAACAUUUGAUUUGUGAAAGGUUCAGUUGUUUCCUUAGUAACACCCACACAUUCUCUCUCAUGACUCCCUCCUCUCCUCGCUACCUCUAUCCCCCCGUCUAUUAGGCCUCUGAAAAGCCUUUUUGCAGUUUGAGUAAAGGAGGAGGAGGACUAAUUUUUGUUCCAAACAGAAAAGCUCAGUUGCCUUUCACAAUAUUUAUACAGAGAUCAACAAUGAUGAACACAGUGCUAUGGUCAUAGUGCUGACACAGCUCUGAAAAGGUGUGUCUUCUGUAUACCUGCUGUUGUUUUUAAAAACCGAAGACUUUUAGAGCCCAGAGGCGGAGCUCCACAAAGUAAACCACGGGAGAAACCCCCUCUGCCUUGGUACCCAGACUGUGCUAUCUAUUAUAUUUGGAGAAUGUUUAACCAACACUCGUGGCUUUUUUCAUAAUCAAUUUUUGGGUUUUCCAAAGGGAAUAUUAUAUAUAGGUAUUAUAUAAUAUAAUAUAUAUGUAUCUAAAUAUAGCUUUCAGAAGAAAAGACAAUGUUGCAAAGAGGAUAUGUAAUAAAUUAAUUUGCGCCUGUUUUUGGUUUUUAGUAUAGAAGGCAGAGAGAAAUCUUUAAAUCUAUUCCACCAAUAGUUUACUCAUUUCUACCAAUUAUAUACAUACAUAUAUAAAUAUAUAUAUAUAUUUGAAAGAAAAAAGUAUAUAGAUACAAAAAUGAAAUUUUUGUCAUAGGUAUACAACCUUCCUUAUGGUCACCCUUUCUUGAACCGUAGCAUGACGAGUUGCAUCAUGUUUUUGGACAGAGAGUUUGUUGUUUGUGUUUAUUUUCUUACAGUCUUCCUUCAUACUAAAAGGGCAUCCCGUAAUGUGAGGCUGAGACCCCAGUUGAUACCCAUCCCUACCGCUUCAGCUACACAUCUCGCUGCCAUGGAUAUGUCUCCGAUUUUACCCCCCCCCCCACCCCCCAAUAACUGUGAGAGCCGCCCGCUGAGCCGGCUGGUUGCUCUGGAUCUUAUGCCUGUUUAUCACUCAGGGAUGGAAGUUUGGGGCACUAGCAUGAAGAGGUUGUUGGCUCUUUCAAUACAAUCUAUUUAAAUUCUUACAUUUGAGGACAAUUCAACACCACCACCAGUCUGAAAAAUGGUAGACAGCUAGUAUAAAUUUCCAUCCCUGUAACCCCUGAAGAUGCUUCUCAGACCAGGUUGCACGAGGUCUGGUAUUGUAAAGGAAACAUUGGGAUGUUUUUUUAAUCCCCAGUGGAAAGGAGAGCAUCAUUAACUGUUUUUUUAAGUUCAAAGUGUGGGACAAAUGAAGUUUAAACUGCACAAAUAAAGCAAAUCAUUGUUUACCUUAGAAUCCUUUACCUGGAGUGCAACUAAGACAAACUCGCCAUACAAGCUUAAUUGAGCUAGAUGUGUGUGCCCUUCUGAAAUGCCACUGCAGGAAAUGUCUGUAGUUCCUCAGGCUGUGGGGAUGGGGAAGCCUCUGUAAGGUCUUAAAGAAAAUUCAGUAUUUUACAACCUGGCAGUGUCUCGCACCGUCGCUGCUACCUUCUAUCUCUACCAUUGUCUUAUCAUGUAAACGGUGGCAGCCAGAGCACUAAAAAUAAGACCCAGGUUGUAAAAGAAAACAAAAAAAAAAACAAAAAGGAAAAACUGAAUUUUCUUUUAACAACACAAAUCUGCAAUUGUACUCAUGAGUAGCUUCUGCUGGCAGUGAGAAACUGAGUUUUAUUCAAGCAACAACAACAAAAAAAGCAUUUUAGCAUAGCUUUUCUCUGACAGAAUGCCAGGAAACUGUAUUGACACUAAAAACCUCUGUACAUCAGCAGCAUCCAGUCAGUAUGCCAAGACAGUUUUACUUGGCGAAAAGUUGUGUGCAUCUUUUUUUUUUGCUAGCAGUUUGUAAAAGCGGGUGGUGAACAUUUCGUUGUAUCUGGGUUGUAGGAAUAGCACUCACUGCCUCACUGUGACCUCACUGAUCAUUUUACUUUUGAUUCCAGUGUUAUGUCCUCAGACUCAUUUGGACCUUCUUCUUUUUUUUUUGUUUUCUUUUUGCUGUUCUUUUUAAUUUUGUCGUCGUCGUCGAAUCGUUACCCUCGGACACUGUGGGUAGAUUUUGUAGCGUGUGGAACAUGAUACUUAAAAUCUUUCACUCAUUUGAAUUUUAGAGUGACAGAAGAAAAAAAGAAAAAAAUAUCCUGUUCAUCCUAAACAUACUUACACUUGUAAAAAAAAAACCAACAAACUACAAAUCUUUGCUUUUUUUAAAAAAAUCACAAGCAAUGUAUAUAUGAUAGAUUUCAUAUAAAUUUUUGAAAAACAAAAAGUAUAUAGAUCUAUAUAUGAAUGUUUGGCAUAUAUGCAUAGUUAACCACCUGUGGAAAAGGUGAGCAGAUUUUAUUCUUUCUAUGAACUCUUGAACUUUUGAACUCUGAACUAUGAACUAGGGGAUGAUUUGCACAAAACAAGGUGACAAGGUGCUAACAUAAAAGCCACCCAUCGUCCAAGCGCAUGCGUGCAUCUGGAUUCCCUGAACCUCUCUGUGUGGUCGUUCCUCUUCACCGUGUGCUGCGUGUGUGUGUGUGUGUGUGUGUGUGUGUGUGUGUGUGUGUGUGUGUGUGUGUGUGUGUGUGUGUGUGUGUGUGUGUGUGUACGCGAGCAAAUGCUUUCCAUUUUUUUUGUGUAUCUGUUGGGGAGCGAGACGAUGAGAAUGCAUGUGACAGUGAGAGAGUGUGUGGUUAAUCCUUAGGGUUUACAUCUUUGGAGUUUAGUCCACUAUAGCCUUACUGUAUUACCAUCAGAGAUUCCCGGCAGCGGCUGUGUCACACAAACACACACACAAACUCACAAAACAUGCACACACAGACAGAAGAAAAUGCACACAUUCAUUUCAAGAUUGAACAUCAUCGUUCUGCAUUGUUGUUUUAUACUCAGUGACGUCUUCAGAUAGUGGACUGCUCUGCCCCAGAGACGAGCAGAGAGGGAGAGAUAUUGGUAAAAAUAAAUAAAUAAAACAAAGUAAACAACACUGUCACAUUUUAUAUUGCAAGACAACUCACCUUGUAACUGCGUAGGUACACCUUAUGCAGUGUCACUGUUUUGUACGCUCAUUCCCAGAUGGCAUUUGCGCUCCUUACCCUCCACUCUGUCUGGCAGCACUCCUUUUUCCUUUUUCAGACCUUCAGUUUCUGAGUUUUGGAUAUGCUAUAUGAGGUAAUCCAGUGAGGAACAAACAACACAAAGGAAAAAUGUGCCAAAAAGUAACUUAAUUUUUAACUGUGUAUUUGUCUUUGCUUUAGGACUAUCUUAGUUACAGCAUUCUUGAGCUGUUAGAUAAUAUGAUAAUAUGGUGCCAUCUCCUGGAAAUCUUGAGAACAACAGACGUGUUAGAUCUUUCUGUAUUUUCCUGCAGGUGGAAGUACAGUCAUUUUUGUUAUUUUGUGAAGAAGCAGACUAU
ensembl:lncRNA